GGUGAGAUGUCCGAGUGGUUGAAGGAGCAUGCUUGGAAAGCAUGUAUAUUGUAAGAGGUAUCAAGGGUUCGAAUCCCUUUCUCACCA
rnacentral:tRNA from 1 species